GAUGAACGCUAGCUACAGGCUUAACACAUGCAAGUCGCGGGGCAGCAUCGGGGUUGCUUGCAACCCCUGAUGUCGACCGGCGCACGGGUGAGUAACGCGUAUCCAACCUGCCCUUCACCACGGGAUAACCCGGCGAAAGUCGGACUACUACCGUAUGUUGUCCAUUGACUGCAUCCGCUUUGGACGAAAGGAUUGGCGGGGAAAGGACGGGGCGGCGUCGGAUUAGCUUGCCGGCCGGGUAACGGCCGACCAAGGCGACGAUCCAGAGCUGUUCUGAGAGGAUGAUCAGCCGCACGGGGACUGAGACACGGCCCAGACUCCUACGGGAGGCAGCAGUUGGGAAUAUUGGACAAUGGGCGAAAGCCUGAUCAAGCAAUGCCGCGUGAGUGAUGAAGGCCUUAGGGUUGUAAAGCUCUUUUACCCGGGAUGAUAAUGACAGUACCGGGAGAAUAAGCUCCGGCUAACUCCGUG
rnacentral:rRNA from 1 species